GACGAACGCUGGCGGCGUGCUUAAUACAUGCAAGUCGAGCGAGAAAAGGGGGGCAACUCCCUGAGUACAGCGGCGCACGGGUGAGUAACACGUAGGUAACCUACCUUUGAGCCCGGGAUAACCUACCGAAAGGUGGGCUAAUACCGGAUAUGACCACGGGGGUCUCGGCCUCUGCGGUGAAAGAUGGCCUCUGCUUGCACGCUAUCACUCGAAGAGGGGCCUGCGCGCCAUUAGCUAGUUGGUGGGGUAACGGCCCACCAAGGCUCUGAUGGCUAGCUGGUCUGAGAGGAUGGCCAGCCACACUGGGACUGAAACACGGCCCAGACUCCUACGGGAGGCAGCAGUAGGGAAUAUUGCGCAAUGGGCGAAAGCCUGACGCAGCGACGCCGCGUGGGUGAUGAAGGCCUUCGGGUCGUAAAGCCCUGUCGAGGGGGACGAACCGGUUGUGACCGAAUACGUCGCGACCCUGACGGUACCCCUAAAGGAAGCACCGGCUAACUCCGUGCCAGCCGCCGCAGUAA
rnacentral:rRNA from 1 species